UACAAUCACAUCUUCAUUCUCUGAGGUGGUGGCUUGCUUGCUUGGGUGAAUGCUUGGCUGUACAUCAGGGACACUCCAUCCUGAAACUUGCUUAACCUUUCAAAGUAUGAUGACAUAGGAACUUGAACAAUAUCUAGAAUUGCCAGAAGUGUCCGGGUGAGUCUGAGAAGCUCACUAAAACUAUAAAAGCCAAAGUAUAUGAGAUUUCGAGCUAGAUGUACCACCUCAAAUGUAAGUUUAUUUUUCUCUUUGUCACCAAAAGGAAAAGGCUGAUUUACAACUUCUUUCAAGUACUCUUCCAC
rnacentral:lncRNA from 1 species